UAUAAACAUACUCCUUGGAAGAAUUUUAGCAGUACUGUAUUCACUAUCAAGUGGAUACUCAAGUCUCGGUAACUACUGUGAGUGAAAACUCAAUCCAGUCAACUCAAUAAUUGUAGUAGGAAAGCAUGUUUGUUUGAAGACGCAUCUGUGAAGGCCAGACAAUUACCUGACUUACUAAAGCAAGAGUGAAACUCCGAGAAAUGUUAGUACAAGUCACAGUGAUUUAAUAUUUCAAAACUAGAUUUGUUCAACGGCAUAAUUCAUACUAAUUUAGCUUGGUACCAUCGGACAAGAAAAGGCAUGGUUAUGGACAGUUGCUGCUGCAAUAUCACAAAGAAUGCUGGU